rnacentral:rRNA from 1 species
GGAAGGAGAAGUCGUAACAAGGUUUCCGUAGGUGAACCUGCGGAAGGAUCAUUGUCGAAUCCUGCAAAAGCAGACCGCGAACAUGUUAAACCAUAUUGGGAUCUAGGGUUGGGGGCAACCCCAACUCUCGUUCCCAUCCCGCAGCGCAUGCUUCUAGGCAUUCGUGCUGUGGCUAACGAACCCCCGGCGCGGCAUGCGCCAAGGAAAACUCAUAGAAGCACUCGCCUCCUGUUGCCCCGUUCGCGGUGUGCGGUGGGGGUAGUGGUUGUUUCUCCCAAUGUCAUAAUGACUCUCGGCAACGGAUAUCUCGGCUCUCGCAUCGAUGAAGAACGUAGCGAAAUGCGAUACUUGGUGUGAAUUGCAGAAUCCCGUGAACCAUCGAGUCUUUGAACGCAAGUUGCGCCCGAAGCCAUUUGGCCGAGGGCACGCCUGCCUGGGCGUCACGCAUCGCAUCGCCCCUCCCUCCCCAUUCGCUUUCCAAAGGACGAUUGGGUGGUGGGGGUGGAUAGUGGCCCCCCGUGUGCAGUGUCACGCGGCCGGCCUAAAUGCGAACCCGUGGCGACUCAUGUCACGACCAGUGGUGGUUGAACACUCAACUCGCGUGCUGUCGUGUCGGGCUGAGUCGCUCUUCGGGCAAAGUUGUAGACCCAAUGGAGCAACCUGGUUGCACCUUCGACCGCGACCCCAGGUCAGGCGGGAUUACCCGCUGAGUUU